rnacentral:rRNA from 1 species
GGCCUUUUGAUUAUAAUUUAAGGUCUGGCCUGCCCACUGAGUAUUUGAAUGGCCGUGGUAUUUUGACCGUGCUAAGGUAGCAUAAUCAUUAGUUUUUUAAUUAAAAACUGGAAUGAAGGGUUGAAUAAGAAAAUAACUGUCUCUUUUUAAAUUUAUUAAAACUUUAUUUUUAAGUUAAAAAGCUUAAUUGUUAUUAAAAGACGAGAAGACCCUAUAGAGUUUUAUUAUUUAAUAUUUUUUUAAAUUUUAGAAUUUAUAUCUUAAUUUUAUUAAGUAAUUUGAUUGGGGUGAUUGAAAAAUUUAAUAAACUUUUUUUAUAUUUUUACAUUUUUUUAUGAUUAUUUGAUCCAAUUUUUUUGAUUAUAAGAUUAAAUUACCUUAGGGAUAACAGCGUAAUUUUUUUAGAAAGUUCAUAUUGAAAAAAAAGAUUGCGACCUCGAUGUUGGAUUAAAAUUAAUUUUUGGUGUAGAAGCUAAAAUAUUAGGUCUGUUCGACCUUUAAAAUUUUACA